GAGCCCGACGUGGGGCUCAAACUCACGAAUCGUGAGAUCGUGACCUGAGCUGAAAUCCAGUCGGACGCUUAAUCGACUGAGCCACCCAAGCGCCCCUGGUGUUCCUGACUCCACUUGCCACCUGAAGGCAUGCUUUCUGGUUUCCCCGUGUCUGUCUGGUGCUCCUUCAAACCCCUGGUGCUUGAUUCAUCAGACCACGAUGAUCUGCUCUGGGGACAUGAAUGAAGAGUGCCAGGCUGACCAGAUCCUGGAAAGUUGGAUAAAAGGUCCAGACUCUGAGCGACAGCCAGCCAGCCAGUAUAUGCAAAUGGUGGACCAGUCACUUGCUUAGUGACCACAUCAGUGCCAUCUACUCUCCCACAAAAUGAAGAACAGGGUCACUCAGCCUCCUAGGUAAUUAAUCCAGUUACCUGAAAACUCAACCCUGUGCCUUUCUGAAGGCCCAGACAUAAAUUUUUUUGGCAAGUCAA